rnacentral:tRNA from 1 species
AAAAUUUUAGUUUAAUAUAAAAUAUUUCAUUUACAUUGGAAAGAUUUAAAUAGUAUAAAAAUUUUA